AUGAACGCUAGCUACAGGCUUAACACAUGCAAGUCGAGGGGCAUCAGGAAGAAAGCUUGCUUUCUUUGCUGGCGACCGGCGCACGGGUGAGUAACACGUAUCCAACCUGCCCUUUACUCGGGGAUAGCCUUUCGAAAGAAAGAUUAAUACCCGAUGGCAUAAUGAUUCCGCAUGGUUUCAUUAUUAAAGGAUUCCGGUAAAGGAUGGGGAUGCGUUCCAUUAGGUUGUUGGUGAGGUAACGGCUCACCAAGCCUUCGAUGGAUAGGGGUUCUGAGAGGAAGGUCCCCCACAUUGGAACUGAGACACGGUCCAAACUCCUACGGGAGGCAGCAGUGAGGAAUAUUGGUCAAUGGGCGCUAGCCUGAACCAGCCAAGUAGCGUGAAGGAUGAAGGCUCUAUGGGUCGUAAACUUCUUUUAUAUAAGAAUAAAGUGCAGUAUGUAUACUGUUUUGUAUGUAUUAUAUGAAUAAGGAUCGGCUAACUCCGUGCCAGCAGCCGCGGUAAUACGGAGGAUCCGAGCGUUAUCCGGAUUUAUUGGGUUUAAAGGGAGCGUAGGUGGACUGGUAAGUCAGUUGUGAAAGUUUGCGGCUCAACCGUAAAAUUGCAGUUGAUACUGUCAGUCUUGAGUACAGUAGAGGUGGGCGGAAUUCGUGGUGUAGCGGUGAAAUGCUUAGAUAUCACGAAGAACUCCGAUUGCGAAGGCAGCUCACUGGACUGCAACUGACACUGAUGCUCGAAAGUGUGGGUAUCAAACAGGAUUAGAUACCCUGGUAGUCCACACAGUAAACGAUGAAUACUCGCUGUUUGCGAUAUACAGUAAGCGGCCAAGCGAAAGCAUUAAGUAUUCCACCUGGGGAGUACGCCGGCAACGGUGAAACUCAAAGGAAUUGACGGGGGCCCGCACAAGCGGAGGAACAUGUGGUUUAAUUCGAUGAUACGCGAGGAACCUUACCCGGGCUUAAAUUGCAGUGGAAUGAUGUGGAAACAUGUCAGUGAGCAAUCACCGCUGUGAAGGUGCUGCAUGGUUGUCGUCAGCUCGUGCCGUGAGGUGUCGGCUUAAGUGCCAUAACGAGCGCAACCCUUAUCUUCAGUUACUAACAGGUCAUGCUGAGGACUCUGGAGAGACUGCCGUCGUAAGAUGUGAGGAAGGUGGGGAUGGCGUCAAAUCAGCACGGCCCUUACGUCCGGGGCUACACACGUGUUACAAUGGGGGGUACAGAAGGCAGCUAGCGGGUGACCGUAUGCUAAUCCCAAAAUCCUCUCUCAGUUCGGAUCGAAGUCUGCAACCCGACUUCGUGAAGCUGGAUUCGCUAGUAAUCGCGCAUCAGCCACGGCGCGGUGAAUACGUUCCCGGGCCUUGUACACACCGCCCGUCAAGCCAUGGGAGCCGGGGGUACCUGAAGUACGUAACCGCAAGGAUCGUCCUAGGGUAAAACUGGUGACUGGGGCU
rnacentral:rRNA from 1 species